CCCUUAGAUGUUCUGGGCCGCACGCGCGCUACACUGUUGCAUUCAACGAGUCUAAAACCUGGUCUGAUAGGGCUGGGUAAUCUUUUGAAUGUGCAUCGUGAUUGGGAUAGAUGAUUGCAAUUCUUCAUCUUCAACGAGGAAUGCCUAGUAAACGCAAGUCAUCGGCUUGCAUUGAUUACGUCCCUGCCCUUUGUACACACCGCCCGUCGCUCCUACCGAUUGAAUGUUCCGAUGAAUACCAUGGACUGAGAGUAUGAAUGGGUUCGCCUAUUUCUGCUUCUCGGGAAGUGGAGUAAAUCUUAACAUUUAGAGGAAGGAGAAGUCGUAACA
rnacentral:rRNA from 1 species